GAUGAACGCUGGCGGCGUGCUUAACACAUGCAAGUCGAACGAAGCACUUUAUUUGAUUUCCUUCGGGACUGAUUAUUUUGUGACUGAGUGGCGGACGGGUGAGUAACGCGUGGGUAACCUGCCUUGUACAGGGGGAUAACAGUUGGAAACGGCUGCGAAUACCGCAUAAGCGCACAGCAUCGCAUGAUGCAGUGUGAAAAACUCCGGUGGUAUAAGAUGGACCCGCGUUGGAUUAGCUAGUUGGUGAGGUAACGGCCCACCAAGGCGACGAUCCAUAGCCGAGCUGAGAGGGUGACCGGCCACAUUGGGACUGAGACACGGCCCAAAAUCCUACGGGAGGCAGCAGUGGGGAAUAUUGCACAAUGGGCGAAAGCCUGAUGCAGCGACGACGCGUGAGCGAAGAAGUAUUUCGGUAUGUAAAGCUCUAUCAGCAGGGAAGAUAAUGACGGUACCUGAAUAAGAAGAACCGGCUAAAUACGUG
rnacentral:rRNA from 1 species